rnacentral:tRNA from 1 species
GGUGAAUGUAGCCAAAUGGUAAGGCAAAGGACUGUGAAUCCUUCACUAGCGGGUUCAAUUCCCGUCAUUCUCCC